rnacentral:piRNA from 1 species
UGUUGGACUCCAGCAAGUUGCCUC